ACUAAAAACCAACUCUCAAGACCAAUCAAAGGCUCUUUAGUCCAGUCUAUACUUGAAUAUAUUCUAAAGAACUUUAAGCUAUUUCAUUGAUUUCUGUGUGAUUUUUAAACUGUCCAUUUUGUUUUUCUGAGCUGACGAGACUUUUAAAUCAUAAAAAGAUCAUUUGUAGUUCAGAACCGUUGUUGUAUUCAGUAAAAUGAAUUUCAGAUCAUUUGCCAUUUUGCUAAAGACGAUCGAUCGAUAAUUUAAGCAUAAAUGAUUGAUUUUCAGUUUCCAAUCUCUGUAAUGCCAAGAUUUGUUAACAAAAAUAGCGGUUCAACAGUUAAUUAGAGUUAAUGGUGAAUAACCAUUAAAAUGAAGCAAAAUAUUGAAAAAGGCGCUUCUCUUCCUCUGGUUACUCCCCUUGACUCCCUUGGUUACUCUUCUGGUUACUCUCCUUCAACUAAUAACAAUGGUUUUCAUGUUUAAUGUUAUUAAAGCCUCUUGUUUUUGUAAUGAUGGUUAACUACAAUUAGUAAAAGGUAAUCACAAUUAGUAUCACGAUUCUCAGUCAAUAAGCCAUUAAUCUCCUUGUUUCACCCAAACCAUAAGUUUAUGUAAAGAUCACCUUUGAAAAUGAGUUGAACUCUGUCACAUAUUAAAACAAAACAUGUUUCAUCUUUUACUCUUUGUAUGUUUUCAUUUGGACACAAUCAACUAACCACAUCAUCAUCAUCAUCUUGAUCAUCAUGGAAACUGUUACCUUCAAUGAAUCAACUUUUGGUGUCUCGGUCUACUGAUUUAUUGUCCACUUCACAUUAUCAUUUGCUUGUCUCCAGUCUUUUCAUUAUUUUAUCAUUUCUCUGGCUUUUCACUUUUACCUGAAAACCAUAGCCAAAGUCCAUUCCUCUUUACCUUGAACUGUUAAUCGAUUAGAUUAUUGAUUACAAUCAUGGUGACCAUUAAUAGUUAAUAGUCCUGUUGAAUUUUCAUUUUUACAAACAAAACCAACAAAAUACUUUUUCACAGCUCAAUCCAAUAAGUCAAUUUAUCCCAUGAAUUAUUAUUAAUAUUUUAACUCAAUCUUCUCAAAGUUUCUGAUUUUUUUACCUUUCCGAUUGCAAUUACUUUCAUUAUAUGAUUCCAAACUAAUCUAGCCUUCACUAAUCUCGAACCAUUUACUUCGAUUUCAUCUUUAAUUUGUUAAUUUUAAAUUCCUUAGCCACAACUCGAAAUAGCAAUUACAGAUUAAUGGAAGCAAAUGUGCCCUAUUCGUGAUUUCAUUUGCUCGUGUUUCAAUUGAACCCAAUUUUGGGUUACAGUAAUUGUUAAAUUGAACCAUUGUUACUGAUUUCAGAUUUAUUAUCUAUUUUUAGGUGGAGUUGAUUAUGAAAAUACAUUAAGGUUAUAGUUAAUUUAAUGGAUCAACCUUUAAUAGAAAACAAAAUUGGUUCAUAUUAAAGUCACUUUAAUAAUCAGUUUAUUCAAAUCAUUUUGUCUCUUCACUUUCCUAUCAUUCAACUGUAUUAUUGAGCGCAAGAUUUGGCAUUAAAAGACUUUAACUUAUCAGCUUCAGAUUUUGAUUCAUUUUCCUGGCAAUAAACACACCCAAUGAAAUCUAUUAACUACAAUUUACAUUGGUCUUGUGGGAAUAAAAGUAAAGAUUUUUGGGCCAAAAUUAACACCAAUUGAAGUCUAUUUUUAUUUAUCAAUUUCAAUUUGUUUCUUUGAAAACCUAUCAAUAUAUUGAAUCAAUUCAUUGUUUUCUUUCCUUUCAUUGAGAAACACUUUUCCAGUUUAAUUGACAAUUUUAUUGUUACUUUUACAUGAUUGACCUAUCAUUAUUAUAAUGACAAUGUAUUAACCGGAAACUGGAUCAAUCAAUUGAUUAAAUUGGCUUAUUCAAUAUCAACAAAUUGGCAAAUCUUUGUAAAGCCAAUUCAAGUGACUUGUCGAUGAGAAAUCAAGUUGACAGUUGAACUGAAAAUUGAAUUUGAAUGGAUCGACACGAAACAUGAUGUUAAUCCUUUCAAUUUUAACGGCUUCAUUAUUCAGAUUCUGUUGACAGUACAAAUUAAAGCUGUGACUGAUCAUUAAAAUGCUAUGUAAUGAGGCUUCUAAUCAGGGCGUAGGUUUGAUUCCUAUUGGGUGCGGUUGGGCUGAGUUGCUGCUCUGUUUGGGCGUUUGACUCGUCAUGAAUAUUCAUAUCGAACAUCUUUGGUUCUUUGAUAAGACAAGAUCAAAAGUUGAACAUUUUCAUUGUUUUCAAUGUUAACCAGAAAAAUAAAUUCGAUAAAUUUGUUCUCCUAGAAUCUUCAAAAUCAACUGAUAAACUGAGUAAAUAUGAAGACAAGGAAAGCAAACAAAUGAGUCGAUUGGGCUCAACAGAAGUGGACAAUGAAUAAGCACUGAAAGUGGAAAAUGUUUAAAUUGAUUUACUUACCCGAUGUGAUAAUUUUUUCAUGUUUGAAUUUCUUGUUGGUACCAACGCGAAGGUCUAAGUUACAGGCCGAGUGGUUUGCUUAUUGAACGCCAUUAUCCUGUUGUCCACUGUUGCUUGCAUGAGCAGUGGACAACAAGAGAAAGGUGAACAAUUCACAAUCAACAGCAAAAAAUCAAUUGAAAGAAAUGGAAACAUGUAAAGAAACAUUUCGUUAUUGGAAUAAUUACAAGAAUCCAAAUUAAUGGUUGAUAGUCAAGUAAAGAUACAAAGAUAUUACUUUAAAAUUGUAGUUGAGAAGCGAUGAAGAGUAUUCAGUUGAUGUUCAUUUGAUGAAAUGUCUAACCAAAGUGACCUUUCAGUUAAGAUGGACUCAGGACUUUUGAUGUAAAGAGAGACUCACUUGAUAGCGAGUGGUGAAGAGAGUGAGAGUGAAAGAGUGAGUGAGAGAGAGGUUCGAGUGAUUUGUUUGUGUCUUUCACAAGUUAAACUUAUCAAAUUGCUAUGGAAACAAAUGAAACUAUCUAAAUAAUUAGCAUAUCAUCUUCAUUGAACCUUAAAUUGGACUGAUCGCAUCACUAAUAACAUCCCUGACUAACUGGCCUUUACUCUUGUUUAUCUGUCACUUGAUCUUGUCCAGCUUCUUUAAUUGUCUUUUUAUUCUCAUUCGCCCUUUACCCUGAAGGAUAUGAAUAAUCAUUAACCGCACUUUGAUUUAGAAUGAAAAAUCAGUCGGAAAUUGUGAUCAUCAAACAAUAUUUUAACAAAAAAAGAGAAAGAAUGAAAUUCCAUUGAUUUUUAUUUAAAGUUAUUAGUUGACUUUACGAGGUAAACAGACCAUUAUGUAUCAAUCAACUGAUAUUAAUUAGUCAACUUGACUAGCAAAUGCCACUAUUCAUGUGUAUUCACCUCAUCUGAAUAUGAAUUAUCCUCGUUUCUGUGAUAACCUUUUGUUUCACUGACAUUCCGGUUGAACCUUGGAAACAACAAAAUGAAAACAAAUUGUGGUCAACAUGGAGACAUGAGAAAUUCACUGCUUUUUUAACUGGAAAAUCAUUAAUAAUUGCAGAUUAUUUAUUCUGUGAAAUGAAUUCAUCCUGAAGUUGACUAGUGAUUCAAGGAAUUAACCAUUAAAUCAUCAAUCAACCUAUCAACAGCAUAAUCUGGUCAAUCUGAAUGUUUCAUUGAAAGUGAACAGAACAGUGAAUAAAGAGUUGAUUUUCCGUAAUUUACAACUUUAAUCAAUCUCCAGAAUCUCGAGUAAACUUUUGGUUUCAUCAUGUUCUCUGCAUGACAAUUGUUCGCCAUUGAUACUUUCAUAUUCACAAUGAAUGUUGAAGUGUCAGCUAAUACAAUGAAAGUCAAUGGCGAUGGACAAUAAUCGUUAUGCUUAAGUAAUAUCAACUCUAUGAUAAGUUAUACAGUUUAUCAUCUAACAGUUUGGAUAUAAAAAGAUGAUAAAAUCUGUCAUCCAUGUAAACUCGUAAACCGUUAAGUCGACAAUAAUUGUCCCAUUCAAAUGGCUUGAUUAAUUAUUUAACCAUUAACCUGAGAGUUUCGAGGAUUGUUUUGUUUAUGUUUUCAUCAUUUUACGAUUUACGAGUUGACCUCAACAUUAAAUCCAUAGUUUUGUCAUGUACAACUUGCUGUCCACAACAUUAAAAAUUUGCUUUUAUAUUGACUGGCAAAAAAAUAAUCAAUAAAUCGUGAUAAAAAGGGAACAAAAGUCACAAAGAAUUGGAAAUUAAUAAAACAAAAUUGAACAAAAUCAACAAUCAUUGCUCUCAUUUUAUCCUAGACUUUUCAGCAAAUUGUUGCUCGAUGACAAUUGAAUAAGCAUUUGAUUGCAACUUGUUUCAUGUAUUUAUGCAUUCAUUAUCAUGGGAAUCCUGGCUGAAUACAACUCAUUGUUGGUUCUGUCUGUAAAUUGGACAAAUGUAAGCUACUCUUUCCGUGACUCUGUUAAGUUUCAUGGUAACACGGAAAAACAUUAAUGAUGAUUGAAAUCAAACAGAGAAGUUAAAGUGUUUUUCAAUAUUUUAGAUUAUCUUUUGAAAGAAAUGACAAAACCACAGAAAAGGUCAUUCGAUUUCAUUUGGAACUUUCUUGUUUUAAUUGACUUGUGGCGAAAAUUUCAAAGCUCAAUGGACAUGAAAGGUAAUAACAGUUACUUACGUUUGAGUUUAAUUGAACAAUCAAUUGGAAGCCAUCGAAUCAUUGAAUCGGGUUAAUGUAACAGUAAACUUGAAUGAAAAUGAAAGUUAAAGUGAAGUUGAAUACACAUUUAAAAAACAUUAAGAAACAUAACAAUGAAAUGGACGAGUGAAUGGCUAAUGUUAUGUAAGUCUCUAAAUUUAGUUGUGAUGGCGAGAGAUUUUAUUGUAAUAACUGGGAGUUAGUGAGCAUUGGGUAUAAAGAUCUGGGUGUGUCAAGGUAUGCAAUCCAAUGGAUCUUCAAUCAGUAAAGAUGAGCCCAAAAUUAAGUGAUGAAUAUGUUGCUAACGCCCUGAGUUAAGAUACAAGCUAGAUUAUGCUUGGGUUAGAUUGAAGGGAAGAAACAAAAUCUUUCGUUUUUUUGUCAUCAAGGCUAGGAAGAUGCAGAUGAUAGGAAUGGAGAUAAAGUGAAAUCGAUUUUUGAUUAAUCAUCAUGAACAAUAUUCAAUUUCCUGAAUGUUUAGUCUUUUAGUUCAGUUUUUUAUUCUUUAUUUUAACUAACAAUAUGCAAUAUUUAACUUUGCCGGUCAUUUUAUUCAGAUUAGCUUGUGUCACCAUCUCCAUGGGGAUAACUAGAGAAGCGAAUUGUUUCAAAGUUUAAACUUCAAUUAAAUAUUUAUUAUUAUGAUCAACUAAUGUUUUUAUUUUCAUCCCGUUUGUGGUAAUGUAUCUUGAUAGAUCAAUCUUUUCUGUUCGACAUCGACCCUUCUCGUAAUUAUAGCAGUCUUUUUUAUGCCUUAUCUUUAUUGUUUGAUACUAAUUGGAGACAAAUUCUGGGAAAUUCAAGAGUUUGGAUGGUGAUGUUGCGCUAGCAGGAAAUGUAUAUCCAAGUCACACAUCGAAGAUGUCCAUAUGACGAAAAUGGAAACAAUUGAAACUGUCCUAACCGAUUCUAUCAUACAACAAACAAAUUCAACCCUGAAAGAGAAGACAUAUUUAAGCAGUUAGAAGAGCUUCUAGAUUAAGUAGAGUCUCAGUAUGUCCAUGGACUUGUUCCAAGAGGUCAAUAUACAAGUGGUAAAGGAUCUUCUGCUGUUGGUUUGACGGCUUAUGUUACAAAAGAUGCAGACACUAAUCAAUUGGUACUUCAAACUGGCGCUUUGGUAUUAUCUGAUGGUGGUAUUUGUUGUAUUGACGAAUUUGACAAAAUGACAGAUUCUACUCGCUCAGUUUUACAUGAAGUUAUGGAACAACAAACCCUUUCAAUUACCAAAGCUGGAAUCGUUUGUCAACUUAAUGCUCGAGCUUCCAUUCUCGCUGCUAAUCCAGAAUAGAAAUUGGAAUUAGUGGAAUAAAAACAAAACGAUAAAGUCGAUA